rnacentral:rRNA from 1 species
UAGUAACUGCGAGUGAAGCGGGAAGAGCUCAAAUUUAAAAUCUGAUGUGCUGUCAGCCAUCCGAGUUGUAGUCUGGAGAAGCGUUUUCUGUGUUGGACCAUGUACAAGUCCCUUGGAACAGGGCGUCAUAGAGGGUGAGAAUCCCGUCUUUGACAUGGACUACCAACGCUUUGUGAUGCGCUCUCAAAGAGUCGAGUUGUUUGGGAAUGCAGCUCAAAACGGGUGGUAAAUUCCAUCUAAAGCUAAAUAUAGGCGAGAGACCGAUAGCGAACAAGUACCGUGAGGGAAAGAUGAAAAGCACUUUGGAAAGAGAGUUAAACAGUACGUGAAAUUGCUGAAAGGGAAACGCUUGAAGUCAGUCGCAUCUGCUGGGACUCAGCCUUGCUUAUGCUUGGUGCAUUUUUCCAGUUUGAUGGGCCAGCAUCAAUUUCGACCGUUAGAAAAAGGCCUUGGGAAUGUGGCACCGCUCGGUGUGUUAUAGCCCUUGGUCAUAUGUGACGGUUGGGAUUGAGGAUCGCAGCAUGCCUUCACGGCUGGGGUUUUUGCCCACACCACAUGCUUAGGAUGCUGGCAUAAUGGCUUUAAGCGACCCGUCUUGAAAC